UACACUCUCUUUUUUUUAUAUUAUUUAAAUUAAUGAUGAUUAAAAACUGAUUAAAAUGUAAUUAUUAAUUCGAGCUCGAGUCUGAACUUGAGCUCAAACCAAACUUUUUAAUUUUGAGCUCGGUCUCGAGCUUUUUUAACGAGUUUCUUAAUCGAGCUUUCCGAAUUCGAGCUCGAGUUUUAUUAACGAGCUUCUUAAUCGAGCUUUUCGAGCUCGAGCUCGAAUUAGGCUCGUUAUUAAAUCAAACGAGCCUUUCACGAGUCGAGCUCGAAUCGAGCUCGAUUAUAAUAUUUAAUUCUCGAGCCGAGCUCGAAUCAAAUAUUAGAGCUCGAGCUCGAGCUUCCAAACUUUUUUAAUAAACGAGCUUGAGCUUUACAAAG
rnacentral:lncRNA from 1 species